rnacentral:lncRNA from 1 species
UUGAUUAUUGUGGUUGAGAGAGGUGUGUUUUAUGAAGAAGAAGAAAAAAAAAGGGACGGCGGUGAGUGUUGGGUCGUCGUUAUGAACAGAAGCGGAAGUUAUCGUCGGCGGACGACGGAGGAAGAUUUGGAAGGUUCUAACGGAGAUUUGGUAGCCGGUGGAAAUGGGGUUUUUAAUGGAGGUAAUGGGUAGAUUGGAGAGAGGCCGUGGGGUUACAGUGUUGUGUUCGGCGACGACGGUUUUGUGGGAGCUGUGGAAAGGACGGAAGCAAAGUGAGGGAAAACCUUUUUUGUUAAUUUUAUUUUUUCUUUUUUCUUCCUUCUCCGAGUGUGUAGUGGGAGUGAGGUAGGUGAGUGUGAGGUGAUUCCCUUUGUGGUGAGAGGAAAGUGGGCUUUUUGAAGAAGAUCAACAAUGAUUUCAUUUAUUUCUUUUUCUUUCUUCUUUGAACAUUUAGUGUGCAGAGGGAGGUUGCGUGGGUGUGAUGAUGGAAAAUGAGGGUAGCGUGUGAGAGAGAGGAAACGUGAGGGAGAUAGGAAACGUGAGGGAGAGUGAUGAGAGAGACAUGAGCUGUAAAAAAGAAAUAGGAAUCCAAUGUUGAUAUUUAUUUAUUUUCAAACAAUUAUUAUUUAUUUAAGGAAAUAUAUAAAACUUCUAAUCAAUAUUUGACUUUUAAAAAAAAAUAAUUCUAAUUACUUUAAUUAAAUAACUAAACCAAAAAAAUAGUGAUCGAUUAUAAAUAGGGACCAAAUAUAAAUUUGCUCGAAAAAUUAAUUCGGGCACACUAAAAUGAUCAGCACAAAAUAUACUUAUUGAAAAAAUACAGCGUUUCGUUAAAUUUUGAAAUAAAUUUGCAUCGGUUAAAAUGCCCAGGCGGGUCAAAAUGCAACUGAAACAACCGCUAAAAUAAACAACGAGCACACCAGGUUAAACUACGUGAACCGUAGAUUAGUAAUACUGGUGUC